UUACAGACUCGGUUUGCGCUGACUCUGUUGUGUGUGUGUGUAUGUGUGUUUGUAUAUUUUCGGUUCCUUCAACGUGCAGGUAUUUCCUGGCCUUAAAACGCAGCUACCGCAGGACAGCACGCUGUAGAUUUCCAUAGUUCCCCUGUAAUACUGACCUCCUCUAGUGGUGGAGAGGCAGGCAGGCCCGAAUAUGUCACGCCAGGGCUAAACCCAAAAAUAGUUUAGUGGGUGACACUGGACCUUUAAUGUCUUUUUUUCUCCUUUACUUAGCCAUCGCAUAUAAAAUAUCAUGCGUGUAUGCUGUAGUACACUUAUUUCUUCAUCUUUAUGUAUAAUUUAUAAAUUGUUUGUACAUAAUGAAAAUAUAAUUAAAUAAGACACUAUUUAUGUCACGUAUUAGUAAAUAUAUUUAUUUAUUAUUAUUUUUUAGCAACAUCAACAAACAGUUUACCAAAUUCUGUCACUCUCAAGAAGUAGUGUUUCAGUGAUGUUUAGAUCAUCCGCUACAGAACUUUUGGGCGGAAUUAAAUGAUUGGGGAGAGGGGACAAUUUGUUUUUGGAGGUUUGUAGGUCGGUGGUCGCCCACCUAGUUAACUCGUUACCUUGAGGUCUGUUUGAAUCUGCCUUGACAGCCGGUGAGGAGGAGGAGGAUGCUAUAAAUGCGAAAUCUACGCACAUGCUAUCUGAGGUCGCUUUUGUGCAGGAAUGAUGACGAAACUGAGUGUCAUUCAAAUGAACGAUUAGCGAAUAAUUAUGAGAGCGCGAAAAUAACUAAGAUAUCUGAAUGCUGUACAUAACUUCGAAAGGGAGAAUAUUUUUUUUACAUAUUAAUAUGACGCAAAGACGACCUUUUCUAUGAUAAACCUGGUCAUUGUUUGAAGAAAUCGGUUUUAGUGUCAUUUUUGCUGUAAACAUAACCGUCACUAGAUUCGCUAUGCAUAGUUAAGAUGUCAAUGUACAUAUGAAUAUGGAGGUAGGAAUAGGCUAACAGACUUACACAGGACUGGUCUGAACUUUUUGACCACCUGAAGCCUAACUAGGUCAGCUGACGUCGAGGUUAAUUGCUAUUCAACAUUCAUAGCAGGAGUCGACGACUGAACUCGGUUACGGAAUUGACGAAGACUGAAAAGAUUGGAGAGAGACCGUUCGAGGCAGCUCAAAGAGACUUGGGAAAUGCCACAUCAUAUGAGAAGAUCUUCAUUCGUCUUCUUACCAUCUAUCUAUCUAUCUACCCAGACACGCAAGAUCAACAGAACUGAGAAAGAAGUUAGGUCACACCGGCAGGACUGAGCCUUAAAUCAACCCUGGCGUUGAAUAUGAUCACGGUCUAGAUACUGGACCGUGAAUAUGAUAUACUACGCUGUGGCUACAGUUACGGCAGCCGUAACGCGACUUUCCAAGGCUGUGGUGACGACAGGUAUUUAUGCAGAUGCCCAUGUGUUUUCCGGAAAAAGUGACGUAGAAUGACGUCAUCCCCCUUUCUGCCAAUCAUCGGGGUAGGAGGAGGAGGACGAAUGAUGUUGAAGAAGUUUUUGUAUUUCGCAAAACCCGUUUAGUCGUAUUCACCCCUUUGGUUGCAUUCAAGACUAUCAUUCACUCACUCCCCAGCAAUAUCAAUUGUCAUUUUUUUCUAACUAGAUACAAACUGCCUUCACGUAAGUCAGAAAAACAUGAAUCGAAUACUUGAAAGAAGAAGGAAUUUUCAUUUGCGGUAUAACAUUAUGGUCUGCGCUAAACAGAUUAUUUCAGUAUACACAGAAGCUAAUCUCUCGCUGUCUCACGAAGUCACAAAAUAUUAUGUUAAGCGUUCUGUGCCGCUUCUCACUUAAGCCUGCCCUAUUAUUAAGUUUAUUAUACAUCUGAGGCCGUCAUUGCCUGCAUGUAGUAUUAUGUCACUGCUCCCUUCAGAUCAAAUUCAAAUUCAAACCUACUCAGCAGUUUCUUGUACAAUCUAUGAUACAACUGGUUUAUUUACAAAUGUUGUAAGAGAUCUUUAAUGAAUAUCCAAACAUUGAGUAAAAAUAACUCAUAGCGUAUGUCAAACUUCGAAAACUUAUCCUAAAUUCUUUUAACCAUAUUGUUAUUUAUCAU